rnacentral:rRNA from 1 species
CGCGGCCUAUCAGCUUGUUGGUGGGGUAAUGGCCUACCAAGGCGACGACGGGUAGCCGGCCUGAGAGGGUGACCGGCCACACUGGGACUGAGACACGGCCCAGACUCCUACGGGAGGCAGCAGUGGGGAAUAUUGCACAAUGGGCGAAAGCCUGAUGCAGCGACGCCGCGUGAGGGAUGACGGCCUUCGGGUUGUAAACCUCUUUCAGCUCUGACGAAGCUUUUUGUGACGGUAGGAGCAGAAGAAGCACCGGCUAACUACGUGCCAGCAGCCGCGGUAAUACGUAGGGUGCGAGCGUUGUCCGGAAUUAUUGGGCGUAAAGAGCUUGUAGGCGGCUUGUCGCGUCUGCUGUGAAAGCCCGGGGCUUAACUCCGGGUCUGCAGUGGGUACGGGCAGGCUAGAGUGUGGUAGGGGAGACUGGAAUUCCUGGUGUAGCGGUGGAAUGCGCAGAUAUCAGGAGGAACACCGAUGGCGAAGGCAGGUCUCUGGGCCAUUACUGACGCUGAGAAGCGAAAGCGUGGGGAGCGAACAGGAUUAGAUACCCUGGUAGUCCACGCCGUAACGUUGGGCGCUAGGUGUGGGUCCCAUUCCACGGGGUCCGUGCCGCAGCUAACGCAUUAAGCGCCCCGCC